rnacentral:rRNA from 1 species
UACAGAGGUGGCAAGCGUUGUUCGGAAUUACUGGGCGUAAAGGGCGCGUAGGCGGCCUUCUAAGUCAGACGUGAAAUCCCCCGGCUUAACCUGGGAACUGCGUCUGAUACUGGAAGGCUUGAGUGCGGUAGAGGGAGGUGGAAUUCCAGGUGUAGCGGUGAAAUGCGUAGAUAUCUGGAGGAACACCGGUGGCGAAGGCGGCAUCCUGGACCGACACUGACGCUGAGGCGCGAAAGCUAGGGUAGCAAACGGG